GAAAAGUUACCUUGGAAAGCGAGAGUUCCAGAGUCUAAAGACCUGUGGCACCUCGUCUACUAAAACCUGGAGGCCUUUUAGUUAUGCAUUCUUGUUAAACCUUCAUUCAGAGACAACCUCAAGCUGAAGAGUUUGAACUCUAAACAUGUCCAAGGAUACGGACCAUGAAGAGUUCUUCGGACUACUACAAAUUGUCUAUCCGAAGAUGCAGAAGCUGACCGGAGGAUGGCUUAUGUACAAGGCUACAGGUGGAGAAAGCUUGCAUGGAUUCCGAGAUGGCAGCAGAGGAUUUUGAGGUUCAAAACUAUUGGCCUGGAUUUGGCUCCAUGCGUCAGCCGCUCUGUUUGGCGCUCUAUCGCGACGCUGUGAGCUCAUUGGUCCGUGAGACAGGAUGUGAAAAGGAGGGGGUCGACAUGAUGCAAAGAAGAGGCUCUUCAGACGGAGGCGCGCCUGUUUCGAGCUGGAUGAUGACUGAUCUCAGUCGUAUUUGA
rnacentral:lncRNA from 1 species